UAAAAUGUAGAUUGAGGGAGGGUACAAAAGCCUAGAGUCUGCUUAAGCUAAGAGAGCUGGCCUCUUCCCUCCACAGCUUCUCAGAGGCCCUAGGAGUCUUGAAGGGAUCCCAGGCAACAAUAAUAACAGUAACAAAACCUCUAGUGGCAACGGUUGUCUCUGGAACUCCUUCUGUGGCUUCUGUAUGUACCUUUGGCUGCCAGCAUGGGUUGUCUCUCCCUUAUCUGAGAUACAAAUGGUGCUCUCAUUGACCUAAACCCCGUCCCAGCUACGUCUUGACUCCCACGCCAUGACUAAACUUCCUGACUGCCACUGCAACCCUAACUUCCAGUGUGAAUCUGCCCUGGUGAAUAUUAAGCUGGAAGCAGGAAACCAAGUGAGCUUUUUGAUGUCUGCUAAUGGGGACAGGGGCAUUUGAAAAGGUUGGCUCUCAAUUCUUUCUGCUAAUGGGAGGGAAGUGUAAAGAAAUCAACAGAAGAAUGGCUUCUGAAUGAUCCAAUCUGGUUUGGGAAUUUUCCCUCGUCCUUACUUGCAAGAACUGGAAAUUUCUGUCUGGGAGUUCAUGACACUUGAAUCAUUACAGCCACAGGGUGAAGACUUGACUCCGAAGCUUAAACUGUGAAGCUGUCUAGGCCCCUCCAUUCUACUCCAGUGGGGCUGGCUGAAACACUUCUAAUCUCUGACUGAAAAGAAACACUAGUAUGUUCUCUCCACACCCCCGAUCUCUCUCUCUUUCUGAUUAUGGUCUCCAAAUUCUCACACCUUCCCCGGAGAUGGAAAAAAAUAGAAGAAACAAAGGGCUUAGGUUUCAGAUACAUUUUCUUUUCAGCUACUGCUGCGCUUGUGGCUGGCAUGUGGGCAGAGAGCAGUUUCUAUGGAGAUAAUGAUAAGCAAAGAUUUAAGUGCUCAGAGUAGGUAAUGUCAACACUUUUGAUCAUGGAAAGCUGGCAAUACUGAUCAUCUAACGCUGACAACAACUCUGUGACAAAGAGUCCGAGACUGAAGAAAGGCUUGCAGAUUCCAAAGGCAUGGACCACCCCUCUAUUAACAGCAAUGGAAGAUGAUGUUUCUGAAUGCCAAGGGCAGUUCACUCCUCACAGUGUAUUCACAACUAUCUCAAAGGCCCUGGGACCAGGAAGGAUGGGAAUAUUCUCCCAUUCAAAGCAGACUACACUGGGAACAGGGAUAGACGCCCAAGAAGGGAAUAUUAGAUUUCAUCUUAACUUUUAUAUCCUGAGACUAUUAUAGAUUAUCAUCAACAAUUCUGAAUAUUGUUAUCCCAUCACAUGUGCAUUUCUGGAUCUUCUUGCCCUUGGCUGGAAAAUGCUCAGGGGAUGAAGAGCUAUUUAAAUAUGAGCCUAAAUUAAAUGGAAUUCAGAGUCGA